GUCAGUUCCAAUCGAUUUAACGUCUGAGAAUUUUUUUUAGGGAAAAAUAAAGUCUCACUUGGUGAAACAUACACGGUAAAACAAAUUAGUAACUUUGUGUUAAAUAAUAAAAGAUGUGUUAAAAACAGAAAUUAUUUAUCAUGCCUAUGAUAUAUGUUUUUAAAAUUAUUUUGUAAAAAAAGUUUUUGAAAAUGCAAUCUUUUCAAAUAUUGAAAAUUUUGCUCAAAUUUCGGACGAAAUAUUUUUGAGUGAACUAAUCUCAACUUGGAGUCGACCUAAUUUGUCGUGUAAUCGUAAUUUAUCUUUUUUAUUAAUUGCUUUUAACGUAUACGGCGUAAACUGAUGCAAUCCCAACUCCAAUAAGGUUUAAUUCGUUUAAAGCAGGUCUUUUUUGCUCGAACAUGACUUUUACUGACAUUUAAAAUUUUGCAUCUAUUUCAUGACUCCACCUACCGACCACCCACCACCACGGUCACACACAAAACUUCUGCAAAAAAAUUUGCAGCCUAUUUACAUACAUUUCAGAAAUUCACAGACAUUUUUGAAAUUCACAGAUAUUUUUCGCAGACUUCUGAAAAAACAUAUCUGGCAUCUCUGGCUCAGAGUCAUGAACACUAUCGUCAUAGAUUUUCUCUUUCCGUUACUACAGUUAAGUAAACCUAUUUCCCAGCUAACGCAACGAGAAAUAUUAAUCCAGCCGAGUUAAUAUCAAAAGAGAAAAUCGAUGAAGAGAAACGAUCAUUGAAGUUAGGUUCUUAUGAUUCUUAACGCUAGAUUUGAUAAUUCAAACAAAAUAUUUGUAAAUGAACCAUUUGUAGUGUUUUCACAAAGUUGGUAAAAAUCGAUUCCCUCAAUGUCCGGUAAUUUGAAAUUCAGUAACAACAAGUCAGAACCGUUUAACUCGAAACGUCGUCUUCUCGAGCAACUACAUCACCAAACUUAGCUCUGUGAGAUGGCAUAGUUAGUCCGUGUAAGUGUUUUGACAUUCGUGCGAAAUUUACGUUCCAAGUAUUUUUUUACGGUUUGAGUUAGGUCCUUCUGACAUGUUGUUCAAGAGAUGAUUACUUUUCAACUCAGCAAUCAGAAUGCAAUUCGAUUACCAGUACGGUAGGUUUUCCAGUCAUGGCUAUACGUUCCUAUUAUGGUAGGUUCGAAUUAAGGCCUAUGAAAUUUUCAUAAGCCAUAUUUAUGUGGAACACUCCAUACGUGGUACAUCUAAAAAUCCUUUUAAACUGCAUCGAUGUGCAUCGAACUUUUCAUAAGUGUCACUUUAAUUAAAAAUUGCCUCACUGUAUAAAUGCAGAUUCACACCCAUUUCAUUAACCGCAAUCAACAGUGAAUAAUGAAACGUGAUCAUAUUGUGCUCAUGUACUAAGCAAAAAAAAACAAUCAUGCCUACACAGAUGAAAAGCGAAAUGACCGCCUCUCGCCACUACACCAAAUAAAUAUUCGUUCGGUCGAAGUUGUGGGAAUCUAUAAUAAAUGAAGUCACUGAAUUCAGCUUAAUGGUCAUUGUUUCGAUUGUUCGACGGGGGAUUACAGAUGCGUUUUUCUCAAAUUUUCACAGCGCGUAGCUCACUUCAUUUCCAAAUUGAUUCUGUCGGCAAACGUAAAAUGAAUGAGCGAGGUUGGUGAAUGGUGAAAACAAAAAGUAAUACUUGCAGCAGAUAAAUAUUUACAAGCUGUGAACGCGCAGAAAAAAUAAUGGAUAGCCACUGGAACUCAUAAUGCUUACCAAAAAAAAAGUUUGAUGAUUUCUGCGCCUAUCCCACAGAUCCACGGCUUUGGGAUACCAGAGUAUUUGAUAUGGUUACAGUAUAGAAGUAGAAUAUUUACAACUGCUUUGUAUUUUCGGGGAAGUGUUUUCAUAUUUACAAUGGAAGUCAAUUCGGUUCCUGGUAUUUUAGUGAAAUAUGAUUUUUUUUAUCCUGUUUUUGAUACGUAAAUUACACGCUCAGUUUGUCUUCAAUGAAAUUUUGCUCCAUUUUUUAUUGUAUUUGGUUCUGCACUGAUCGACUCUACAAUAAAUUUUCGUUUUCCAGAAUUAUCUAUUUUAGGAUCGUUAGUAUGUUUUUAGUUGCUAGGUCGGAACCGAAACAAAAAAAAAACUUUUGUUACAGUCUUAGUCAAGUUCUCACCUUCGGUGUUAGUGUUUCUUAUGGAAUUCUCUAUGUUUGCUGAUUAUUGCUAAUUGCAUUCUACUGACUAAAUUAGCAUAUUCUCUUCCUUACAAUGUGAUUAUUUACCCCUUUAACAUUCAAUAAAAUCCUUUUUAAACCAUCACCAUGAUUUUUUCGCGUUCUAACGUUUGAACUAGUUAUCUUACAAUAGAAACAAUUGAUAUAUAAAUGCUAUUGAUGAUUCUACCUACCUAGAUGACACUUUUUAACACUCAAUGAAAAAACAUUCGUACGUAAAAAUACGUCAGACCGUUUUAAAUUCGAUAGGUUUCCGAGUUUCGUCGAUCAACAGUGGAGAUACAUAAUUAUUCAAUUUGCCAAGAAGCUUAACAUCGAUGUUUUGGUGGGAAGCCACGAAAUGAUCGCAGUUAUCCAUGCAGCGAGAAGUUUUGAUUGCGCUUCGAAUUCUGAUCCGUUCCGUUUGUUUUAAUUCCGAACAAGUUUUUUUUGCCUCUAUUCGAAAUAUAUAAUCUAUUUAAUAUUGUGUGUGAUGUUUGUAAUACCAUUACACAUAACUGAAACAAUUUAAUGGUGGUAAGCUCCCACUUGGAUUAUUUUUUUUUUAAACUGGCCUUGAUUGGAAGUUCUGACAGUUCUAGAUAGAGUGGGAAUUAUGGCGUAACAGCUUUUGUAAACAAAGACUUCUCUCGAUGAUUUCUAGAAAUCUAGCUAGCCAACGCAAAACAACAUCAUCAUCGGAUAGGGGAAGACUUCAGUAACUGUUUGAACGUUUUGAUUACUACCGACGUUGACAGCAAAGCAGCCUGACAUUCGUGAUUGGGAUUUAAUCCAAGGUUGGAGCUUACCACCAUGAAUGAUUUGAAUUACUCUUAAGUACUGAUAAAACAACAUUGGAAACUUCCGCAUCUAAUUACUCCCAUGUGAUUUUUACGUAUUCUUGUAAUGAUCUGGAUACAGGUUUGAGUAAUUUUUGUGUUAAUUUUUUAAAAGUUUCAUUCCGUUUCUCAUACAAACUAUAAACUCUCCAGAUCUUAACUGAAUUGGCAUAGUUUUAGGGACCUCAAUACAGAUCGAAUGACGAGUGAGGUGCAGGGGUUUGUGGUACAUACAAACUAGACCCACCCUAAUAAACAGUGUUCGUGCUUGUAUAAAGAAUAUUUCGAUAGGGGUAGCGUGAGUAAAAUGGAACGCCGUGUUAAAACGUCAGGUAAUUGUUUCGUCGGAAAACGUCAAAUAUCACUGUUUUGAUUAUGCACUCUUAUUUUAUGCCAGUUAAUAACAUUCAGUGAUUUUCAAAAACUAUCAUGUGAUGGAAAAUGAAACAAAACACGUGACGCCAAACCGUAUUCAAAAUGCGAAUGAUGUUAUUUAAAAAAUCCAACGAAGAAUUAUACAAGCAAAAAGGGCAAAAACUGAUAUAACCACUACCCAAUUAUAAAAUUUUUUGGACUUCAGUAAAAAAAUUCACAUCGAAACAUGCUACGAAUGGGAUUGAAUUUGUCCAAUUGCAAACAUUUGCUGACAGAUGGGGUGUUUGGGAGACAAUUCUUACAAAUGUAAUAAAAUGAACUCUUAUGUAUCGUUUUUUAAUUUCCUAUGAUGAUCUGGGUAUUGCGGCCUAAAUCGAUUUUAUUUUGUAAGUCAAUAGUAAACUACUUGAAAAUGUUCUCAAGUAGCAUAUUGUUUUGCUCUUCGUCAUAUAAAUCCCACCAAAAACGAGUGCUCGAACCUCCAUGACCCUCAUAAAGUUUGUUUACACACUUGCUUCGCCAGAGUAUAAAUGAUUGAAAUUGCAACUCAGCUGAGUCAUCAAAACUGUGCUGUAUUGUUCAUUUCUAUGAGAUGAUAAAACAUGACGAUAAAUAAGAAGGGUUAAUACAUAUUGGCUCCCAGAUGAGAAGCAGUACCCAGACUUGAAUUAUUAGAUGCAAAACCAACAAAACAUACAUUUGCAAUUUGCAAUAGACGUUCAAGUGGUUCCCGCGUAAAAAUAAAAAUAAAAUAACAAUAUAAUGGAUUACAUUCUGUUGAUGACAAUUAAUCCUAUUGCAAUUGUAUUGUAUUGGUCAAGUGAUUUUAUUGUCAAGUGAUCUUAUUCUCAAUUAGUACAUUUGGUUGUUCCGUCUAUUUCAAAUGUUGAUCUAGAAUUCUUCUCGGACUUCACUUGGGAAUUCCAAUAAGACGCUCCACAGGAUUCCCUUGAAAUACUGCGCAGAAUUCAUUUUGAAAUAUCCUUAAAAAUAACCUUUUAACUUUUAUUUGAACAUCCUGUAAAUGCUCCUCAGAAUGUUUUUUUUUAAGGUUUCCAAACUUUCCGUGAAACUUAUUCGGAACUUAUCUGGACUUAUCCUCAUUGGAACUCUUAAGAAUUCGUUUACCAUGCAAUAAAUCUCUCCUUUAGAAUGCUCUUCUGAUGCUUUGUUUGAAUUUUCCUCCCUAGGAAAUCUCCUGACGAUCACUGUAGAAUUCUCAUAAAAAUUCGUUUGAAGCUCCACUCGAUUCAUUUUGAGAUAUACUAGGUAUAAACAAUGAAAUUGCUUACAAGCUUGUAAACAACAUUGCUGAAGUAUGCAGAAUCGCGCUUGAAUUUACAUGAAAUAUCGUGUAAAUUAAAUUUCCGCUAAUUCAAACGACAACUGCGUGUGCGCUGUAUAUCACUGAAAUUUACAUUAAUUUAUCGAACAGUAUAUCCUCAUAAAUAUACUCUCCUCAGACAGCUUUGGAAUUCCCUAAAAAUCUUUUGAAAAUUCUGCAUAGUGCCAGACAUAAUCUUGCAAAAAAAAUUUCCAAGAGCCCGGAAUUUAAAUUUUUAUCAAAUCAGGAAUUUUGAAAAAAAAAUCAGGACAUCUUGACCUUUUUCGUCUUAGCAUUUUCAAGAGAUCUUAAAUUUUACUGAAAACAUUUUUUUUUUCUUUAUUUAGGAGAUUUUUAGCCAUAGGCUAGUUCAUCUCCGUUUCUGAAAUCAAUAAAAAAUCCAUAGUUUCAGAAUUUGAAAAAUGAAAAGCCGCACAAUUUUGAAAAUUGUAGUAAGUCUUUUAUAGACAACCUGUAGUCGUAAAAAAAUGCACAGCUAAAAUUGUAAAAUACUGCAGAUUUCGUUCAAAUCGCAUAUAAGAAUGAAUUUCAUCGCAUGAUGAUCGUAUACAUAUAAUGAAAAUUGUCGAGCUUUAUACGAUGCAUCAUGUUUGAUUUGCAAAUUGAAUCGAAUAAACUAGCAUGGCUUGUCAAACUUAAUUUGUUACCAAUAAAAUCGUGUAUAAUAAGACAUUUAAUCGUUAACCAAGUAAUUUUGAAUUUACACGUGUACUGCAACGGCUAGAAAUACAUACACAAAGUCCAAAAAUCCGAACACUUUUAAAUGUUGAUUAUCAAUUACUAACAUGCUCCGAACCUAAGUAACAUCGCAGGCUUUAUCGAGGUCUUAUAGCAUUCUACAAAUCUAAAUCAUGGUCUACAGAACCCUCAUAAAACCAAAAUUGUUACUUGGGAAGAGCGCUUAAUUUCCAUCAUGGUAUACAUGUAUUUUGUUUUUCUUAGCCCGUUAUCUUCCAAUAUAUUCUAAAUGCCAAAUUUUCUUCAAAUUAAUCGCAGGUUCUAGCUAAAGAUUGUUUAGAGCAUUUAAUAGUUGAAUGUGCCUCUUUUCAAAAUUGUCAUUGUUGAUAAGUUUUAGAUACUUGUAUAAAUUAAAAAAAUCUAACCCUCAGAUUAUCUUUGUAGUAGGAGAUCUCUAUAAAAAAAAAACCUCAGAUCACUUUUAUUGUAAAGAUUAGGCUUUCUAAACCGACAUUGAAAUUCAAUCGAUUAAAUUUCAAAAUUGGGCUUUCUUCUAUGAAAAUAAUUUGAGAAGUCGAAAUAAAUAAAAUUAAAAAAAAAAAAAAUUCCAAGAUUAAUGACCUUUUUUACUAUAAAUAACUUUUAAACCCUUUCACGCCCUGAAAAAUUAUUUUGUUAAUGUAAUAAUCGAGAAUGAAAGUUCAUACGUGAGCGUUAUGCUAAUAAAAUCUUCCAAAAGCAUUAAUUUCACAAAAACAAAUUAAAAAAAAUUCUUUCACGAACUUUUAUGUUCUUGAAUUAAGAUUUUCUUAUAAAUUUUUGACAGUGUGACAAAACGGGUUUUUCUUACAUUUUGAACAAAUCGUACACUAUUUUUUGAAGUUGUUUUAUGAUCUUAGUAGAUUUACAAUCCAUGGAAAAGGCUGUGAACAAAUCACAACAAUUUUAAAUUUUUUUGGCCUAAUUUGACAUCAACUCCGUAGGUAAUUCUUGCUGAAAAAUUCACUACAUGAGAAAUUUUGAUUUUCGACCCAAUUCAACUUGUUUGCAACCACAAUCUAUUGAAUGCUGAUUGCUGAUGCUGAAUGGCAAUUGUAAAAAACAUCUUUGAAAUGAUAUUAUGAGUUCUAAAACCUUGAAAUAAACAAAAAUAUUCUGUAACAAUGCUUUCAAUAAACUCGAAAAUGCACUGUCCGAAAUCUCAUAAAAGGAACUAAAUCUAACAUGAGCGCAGUCCCUUUAAGAAUGUGUUUUGAUUUGUUUUCUUUGAUAAGUUUUAAGAAAGGACACGACACACAUAAUGAAACUACUUUUUUUUUAUUAAUAUUAUUUGUUUACAGAUUUGGAGAGCUAAUGUUGUUAAGAACAUAAUUUCGAUACAGCGCUCAUUCCAGAAGUGGCUAAAAAUAAUCUUAAUAAAGAAUUUAAAAAUGGAAAAAUUGACAAUGCGUGAAUCUUCCUACUUCAUAAGAUGAACCUUUAUAUUUGAGAAAACUUUUGGUCGAUGUACAUCAGUUCACGGCAUUUAACAUAACCCAUAAAAUAAUAAAUCUGGUUAAAAACUGAAUAAGCCUGUUUAUAACUGCAUAGAAUUGUAUGUAUGAAUUGUAUCUCAUUCACGUAUUUGACACUUCAGUCGAAUCUGUUUGAACUACCGUUUGAUUGAGGAAUACAAUCUAGUUGAAAAGUGAGGUAAGCAUUCGCUUACACUAAUCUUCAAUCGUAGUUUGAGAAUGAUCACGAUUUUGUAAUUUUAAUACUAUGAAAUAGCUGAUAUGAUGGUUUGGGAGUAAUUAGAUGCGGAAGCUAUACCGGA